rnacentral:rRNA from 1 species
AUGGGCAAGUCACUUUCUCAAGUAGUUUGGGGAUGUCCCUUGGGAAAUAGUACUUGCUUACUCGAUUUUGUGCGUAGUUCGAACAUGGACCUUAGAAGGGUGAUUUUGCUAGAUUGGAGGUUAAAUAUAUUUCUUUUUUGCAAACAAGUUAUAUAUUCCUUGAACAAAAAUCUACCUAAAUUUAUGUUGGAUACCUUCAUAUAUCUUCAUAUAUUUGGCAAGAUUGCUUUUUCAUGCCAGAUUCAGAUUCAACCAAGUGACGAUUCCAACUUGGUCACAGAAUCAGAAAACGCCUUGCAGUCCUCUUCUACCACAAGCACAUCACCUCUUCGGCUCUUCGUUGUUUCCCUGGUAUAA